rnacentral:rRNA from 1 species
CUACGGGAUGCUCCAGUGAGGAAUUUUGCGCAAUGGGGGAAACCCUGACGCAGCAACGCCGCGUGAGUGAUGAAGGCUUUCGGGUCGUAAAGCUCUGUCAAGUGGGAAGAAUCCACACGGUGAUAAUACCACCAUGUGCUGACGGUACCACUGAAGGAAGCACCGGCUAACUCCGUGCCAGCAGCCGCGGUAAUACGGGGGGUGCAAGCGUUAUUCGGAAUUACUGGGCGUAAAGGGCGCGCAGGCGGUUUCUUAAGUCAGAGGUGAAAGCCCGGGGCUCAACCACGGAAGUGCAUUUGGAACUAAGGGACUUGAGUAUGGGAGAGGGAAGUGGAAUUCCUGGUGUAGCGGUGAAAUGCGUAGAUAUCAGGAGGAACACCGGUGGCGAAGGCGACUUCCUGGACCAAUACUGACGCUGAGGCGCGAAGGCGUGGGGAGCAAACAGGAUUAGAUACCCCAGUAGUC